ensembl:lncRNA
GUGGUGGUUAUGGAUCUGCUCAGGGUGGAAGUGGGUGAGGAAGACCGUGACUGCAGGGCUGGGCUUAUCAACAACCAGGAGCAACAGUAAGCCACACUGCACCUCCCCGUGCCAACCAACCGCCGCUGUCUGGCAGGAUUUUACCAACUAUUAUAUGAUACGACCCUUGGGAGAUCCUGGGUAAAAACCCAACGCAGACUGAGCGACAUCAGCUGUCACUUUCGCCAAACUGAAUGAUACACAUCUCAGGAGUCUGAUCACGAUUGACAGCUAUGACUGGC